CUUAGGUAGUUUUGGAAUAUAUCAUUGGGUGAAUAUACCAUGGUGUGAAUCCUGGGCUCUGUCUGCUAUCCAUCUGCAGCCCCACCACCAGUCUUGAAAACAGAAUGUGAUGAGAAGUCAACUCAAAAAUCAGGACUCAUAACAUCAAUCCAUGCCUUUGGGUUCCUAGAAGAGAAGUAACGUAGCAUUGAAGAUCGAAGAAGGUCACCAUAAGGAAAAAUUCCCAAAGCAAAAAACAAGCUUUGUGUACCACCAUUCCAUCCUGUGCAUCCGAGGUACACUGGGUCUGGCAUAAAUUACCUCCUCAAUUAAUAAAUAAAUCUCUGUAAAUAAAUAGUAACUCUAGGAAUAGUUAUACGAUUUAUUUUUAUAUAUUCAUUCCUAAUGUUGACAAGGAUCUAAUUCACUUAAAAUUUAGUCCAUAUUACAUUAUCAAAUUUAAAAAAGAAGACUAAAGCUUAAUACACCCAAUGCAUUCUUGCCCUUCAAUGAAAAUAUUUCCUAGUUUUGAAAUGAAAAACUAAUAAAUUUAAGUAAAAAACAUAACCUAUAAAAUCAAAUGUUCUAAUCUACCUCUUACAUUCAGAAGCUUGGAGAGUGAGUUUUUAGUGCUUGAAAAUAGGAAAUCAGUCCCUAAUAAUUCUCUAAGGGAUCAUGGGAACCAACACAUCCAGGUCUCUCAAUGGGAAAUAACUCUGAAUUAAGCGCUAACAAAAACAGCACCUAACCAAUUUAAGUUUAACAUGAGAGGCAGGAUUAGCAAUUACGGAAAACAUACAAAAGUGGCAAAGGAGAUGAUAGUUUAGAAAAAAACUACACGGCUAGAUGUCUACCAAUUCCAGUCAACCUAGAAGCUUUCUCCCCAAGCCUGCUUUCACUCUGAAGGAUGUAAGUAGGGACUGGCUAUAAAAAUUGCUAGUUGCCUGGAGGCUUCAUCUGGAAUGACAUGAAUCUCAUGUAUCAGCCAAAUUAUACUCUGCUUUGAAUUCAUAAAAUUUGUUUUCAUAAUGUGAUAAAAUUUUGAGUUCUGUCUCCAACUGUUGAAUGGACACCACCUGAAAUAUAAACUGAAAUACCUUCUAUAAAUGAAUCCUCAUUUUCCAUCAACUCUGGAAAUAAGAGGAGAUAAAGGACAAAUAAUCUGUUUUUCCAGACCCAGCAAGAUGUUUACCAGAUACCAUUCCACUGAGCCAACACUGAAACUUGACAAUAUUUAUUUGCUAACUUGAAGCUAGCUGCAUCCAUAUGCUUGCCAUUUACUUCAUAUUUGUAAUGGACACGUCUCCAUGUCUUAUUUAUUUUUAUCAACAUGUUCCCCUCAAAGCCAGAGCCUCUGCAGAGUAGUUACUCAAUAAACAAUUAGUUAAAAUGUACUUUAGCAGAUUAUUAUUAUAUCUCAAAUUCUAAUAAUGAUCUGCCUGGAAUUUCAGGGUAGGUGUGAGUAAA
rnacentral:lncRNA from 1 species